rnacentral:rRNA from 1 species
AUUGAACGCUGGCGGCAGGCCUAACACAUGCAAGUCGAACGGUAACAGGAAGCAGCUUGCUGCUUUGCUGACGAGUGGCGGACGGGUGAGUAAUGUCUGGGAAACUGCCUGAUGGAGGGGGAUAACUACUGGAAACGGUAGCUAAUACCGCAUAACGUCGCAAGACCAAAGAGGGGGACCUUAGGGCCUCUUGCCAUCGGAUGUGCCCAGAUGGGAUUAGCCAGUAGGUGGGGUAACGGCUCACCUAGGCGACGAUCCCUAGCUGGUCUGAGAGGAUGACCAGCCACACUGAAACUGAGACACGGUCCAGACUCCUACGGGAGGCAGCAGUGGGGAAUAUUGCACAAUGGGCGCAAGCCUGAUGCAGCCAUGCCGCGUGUAUGAAGAAGGCCUUCGGGUUGUAAAGUACUUACAGCGGGGAGGAAGGGAGUAAAGUUAAUACCUUUGCUCAUUGACGUUACCCUCAGAAGAAGCACCGGCUAACUCCGUG